GUAGGGAAUCUUCCGCAAUGGACGAAAGUCUGACGGAGCAACGCCGCGUGAGUGAUGAAGGUUUUCGGAUCGUAAAACUCUGUUGUUAGGGAAGAACAAGUAUCGUUCGAAUAGGGCGGUACCUUGACGGUACCUAACCAGAAAGCCACGGCUAACUACGUGCCAGCAGCCGCGGUAAUACGUAGGUGGCAAGCGUUGUCCGGAAUUAUUGGGCGUAAAGCGCGCGCAGGCGGUCUUUUAAGUCUGAUGUGAAAGCCCCCGGCUCAACCGGGGAGGGUCAUUGGAAACUGGGAGACUUGAGUGCAGAAGAGAAGAGUGGAAUUCCACGUGUAGCGGUGAAAUGCGUAGAGAUGUGGAGGAACACCAGUGGCGAAGGCGACUCUUUGGUCUGUAACUGACGCUGAGGCGCGAAAGCGUGGGGAGCAAACAGG
rnacentral:rRNA from 1 species